rnacentral:rRNA from 1 species
UACGGGGGGGGCAAGCGUUGUUCGGAAUUACUGGGCGUAAAGGGCUCGUAGGCGGCCAACUAAGUCAGACGUGAAAUCCCCAGGCUCAACCUGGGAACUGCGUCUGAUACUGGAUGGCUUGAAUCCGGGAGAGGGAUGCAGAAUUCCAGGUGUAGCGGUGAAAUGCGUAGAUAUCUGGAGGAACACCGGUGGCGAAGGCGCUCAUCUGGCCCAAUACUGACGCUGAAGCGCGAAAGCUAGGGGAGCAAACGGG